rnacentral:rRNA from 1 species
UACGUAGGGGGCGAGCGUUGUCCGGAAUUACUGGGCGUAAAGGGCGAGUAGGCGGUCCAAUAAGUCAGAUGUGAAAUACCAGGGCUUAACCCUGGGGCUGCAUUUGAAACUAUUAGACUUGAGUGCAGGAGAGGAAAGUGGAAUUCCCAGUGUAGCGGUGAAAUGCGUAGAUAUUGGGAGGAACACCAGUGGCGAAGGCGACUUUCUGGACUGUAACUGACGCUGAGGCGCGAAAGCGUGGGGAGCAAACAGGAUUAGAUACCCCGGUAGUCC